rnacentral:RNase_P_RNA from 1 species
CAUGAAAUUCGGGUAAUCGCUGCGGCGCUAGACGUCGUAGAGGAAAGUCCAUGCUCACACGGUUCUGAGAUGACUGUAGUGUUCGUGCUUACUGAAAAAAUAAGGUAAGGCAGCUGUAAAGGCUGACGGCGGAAGGAAAACCUAAGUCUUAAUGAUAUGGUUGAAACUUCCUGAAAGUGCCACAGUGACGUAGCUUGCUUGGAAACAUGCAAGGUGGAACGAGGUAAACCCCACGAGUGAGAAACCCAAAUUAUGGUAGGGGCACUCUCUAGAAGGAAUUGAACGGAUAGAGGGACAGAGUUCACUCUGUAGAUAGAUGAUUACUACCCGGUCGUACGAGGCGUCAGCUGUUUGAGUACUCGGGAACAAAACAUGGCUUACGGAAUUUUUUGAUGC